AGAGGUUAGUUAAUUUAUAAUAUUGAAUUGUCAUAUCAAAGUAAUUUUUUACUUCUUUA
rnacentral:tRNA from 1 species